CUUUUUUCAAUUAUAUUUUUCUUUGAGUGAGAUCUCUUUUAGUCUUUUCAUCACUUCUCCUGAGCUUUGAAGUCAGUCUACUAAGCAAGAUUCUCAGAUUCUCAAACUCAAUAGGUCAAGGUGAAUUCAGUAAUUCUUCAUUUUGCUCCUCUUAAGCUAUUUCUCUUUCCCAUCUUUUCUCAUCAGCCACCCCAAGCCCUCUGCGUCAACCCAACCCUGGGUUUUAAUUCUUUCCUUUUCUUUAUUUGCCACCUUCUGUCAGUUACAAAGUCCUGAUGGUUAUUUUUUUAAUUCUAACAUCAUACAUGUGAAACAUUCAUAAAAUGUAUAGUUUAAAAAAUAACAGAGCAGAAACCUCUAUCCAGCUUAAGGCCAGAUGUUUCCGGGGACCCCACGACCACUCUCAGGUUCAAUGAUUUGCUGGAAUGACUCACAGGACUCAGCAAAGCCAUCAGACUCACAUUUGUGUUUUAUUACCGUGAAAAGAUGGGGCUUGCCAGAUGGUGCUGCUGCUGCUGCUCCUGCUAAGUCGCUUCAGUCGUGUCCGACUCUGUGCGACCCCAUAGAUGGAAGCCCACCAGGCUCCCUCGGCCCUGAGAUUCUCCAGUAUUCUUCCCUGAAGAAUCCCAUGGAGAGAGGAGUCUGGCAGGCUAUAGUCUAUGGGGUCUCAAAGAAUUGUGCAUGGCAAGUGACCUUGCAGGCAUGUAUGCACAGUGAAAAGAUACAAAUUAAAAUCAGCAGAGGCAAAAGGGACACAGAGCAGAGUCCAGGAGAGACCAGGUGGAAGCUUCUAGGGGUCUCUCCCAGUGGUGUCAUAUGAACAGCACUCAAUUCUUCUGGCAACACGUGUGACAACACAGUGCUAAGUAUUGCCAAACAGAGAAGCUCCUGCAAGACUUGGUGUCCAGGAUACUGUGGGUCGGUCACGUAGGCAGGUCUGGAUGCCCAUGUGACUGACCUCAGCUACUCAGACUCCCAGCACCACCAGAAGUCAAGCUGAUACAGUGCAGUCCAAGCCCCCAAGUAAACAAAGACACUCUUGUCAGGUAGGGCAAGCCAAGGGAUUUGAGGUUAUGCGCCAGGAGCCAGUCAUGGGUCGGUCUUCUCUUUGGAAUACACAGGGUUUGAGGAUCCCAAGACUGCUGAGUUCACCCUUUAAUGCACAGCUGGGAUGCUAUCAGAAAGCCUCUCUCCCCUACUGCAGCUAAUGGUGACUCUCAGUUUUGCUGGCAUAUUUCUAUCUUUCUUUAUCCUUUUACCAUCUCCAGAUGGGUCUGUAAACACAAUUGUUUUGUUCUACUUGGUUUGUUUGUUUGUUUUGGCAUGUGAGAUCUCUGUUCCCCAACCAGGGAUCAAUACCCCCUGAAUAGGGAGUGUGGAGUCUUAACCACUGGGCCACCAGGGAAGUCCCUGGCUUGGUCUUUAUUUCCCAGUUUUAGUGAAACACAGUUUAUAGACAAUAAUAGUCACUCACUUGAUA
ensembl:lncRNA